GCGCCUUCCCUAGGAGCUGUUAGCAGGUGGGUGUGACGGGGCGUCUACAAUCCCAGCAUUCCUUCCGUGCCGCCACCAAGAUGGCGGCGCCCGUUUUUCGGUGCUUUUCCUGGGUCCGGUGGUCUGGUACCCUAAAUCUCUCAGGAUUUUUGCCCCUGGGGCUACGUAAGGCCCACUCGGGCGCUCACGGGUUACUGGCAGCGCAGAAGGCUCGGGGUCUGUUCAAGGACUUCUUCCCGGAGAGGGGGACGAAAAUAGAGCUCCCAGAGCUCUUUGACCGUGGCACGGCAAGUUUUCCCCAAACCAUUUACUGUGGUUUCGACCCCACGGCCGACUCGCUUCAUGUGGGUCACCUCCUAGCGCUGCUAGGCCUGUUUCAUUUGCAGCGAGCGGGCCACAACGUGAUCGCGCUGGUGGGAGGCGCCACGGCGCGCCUGGGAGACCCGAGCGGCCGUACCAAGGAGCGCGAGGCGCUGGAGACAGAGAGUGUGCAAGCCAACGCGCGCGCCCUGCGCUUAGGGCUUGAGGCCCUAGCGGCAAAUCACCAGCAGCUUUUCUCUGAUGGGCGCUCCUGGGGCAGCUUCACCGUGCUGGACAACUCGGUCUGGUACCAGAAGCAGCACCUGGUGGACUUCCUGGCGGCAGUAGGGGGUCACUUCCGCAUGGGGACGCUACUGAGCCGGCAGAGCGUGCAGAUGCGGCUCAAGAGCCCCGAGGGCAUGAGCUUGGCCGAGUUCUUUUACCAGGUGCUCCAGGCCUAUGACUUCUAUUACCUCUUCCAGCGUUAUGGAUGCAGGGUCCAGCUGGGCGGAUCUGAUCAGCUGGGCAACAUCAUGUCCGGAUAUGAGUUCAUCCACAAGUUGACUGGAGAAGAUGUAUUUGGAAUCACUGUUCCUCUAAUUACAAGUACAACUGGAGCAAAGCUGGGAAAGUCUGCUGGCAACGCUGUUUGGCUAAACAGAGAUAAGACAUCUCCAUUUGAAUUGUAUCAAUUCUUUGUCAGACAGCCAGACGAUUCAGUGGAAAGGUACCUGAAGCUGUUCACUUUUCUGCCCCUUCCAGAAAUUGAUCAUAUCAUGCAGCUGCAUGUCAAAGAGCCAGAAUGGCGGGGUCCUCAGAAACGACUGGCAGCAGAAGUAACAAAGCUUGUUCAUGGACGAGAAGGACUGGACUCUGCUAAAAGAUGUACACAAGCCCUUUAUCACAGUAGCAUAGAUGCACUGGAGGACAUGUCUGAUCAAGAGUUAAAAGAGUUGUUUAAAGAAGCUCCAUUUUCUGAAUUAGUUCUUGAUCCUGGAACAAGUGUUCUAGAUACCUGCCGCAAAGCAAAUGCCAUUCCAGAUGGUCCCCGAGGGUAUCGAAUGAUAACAGAAGGCGGAGUCAGCAUAAAUCACCAACAAGUAACAAAUCCUGAGAGCGUUUUAAUUGUUGGACAACACAUUCUCAAGAAUGGACUUUCCUUACUUAAAAUAGGAAAAAGAAAUUUCUACAUUAUAAAAUGGCUUCAGUUAUGAUGAAAAAUCCUUCUGGUUAUUCAAGUACUUACCCAUCAUUUAUUCUCAAGACCUCUGAAGGGUUGGCCCCAAAACUUAGAUCUUUGCUUAUGCAAAUCAGAAAAACAGAAUGGAGUAUACACUAGGACUCAGUGCUGCAGAGCAUGGCUUUAGUGUUCAAAUUCUAGCCAUUUACUACCUGGAUUACUUGGAGCAAGUCACUGUCUUCAUACGCAAAAAUGGCGAUGUAAUAAUACCUUGGUGAACUGUCAGAAUCUGGUAGGAAAAGUCAUAAAACGUUUAGUACUCUAUACGGUUGUUUUAAAGUAGAUUUAGGUAUUAAAAAGCUCCUUUUCUCCCUUUCUCUGGGAGAAAACUUAAGAAUUUUUUUGACAAACUUUGUCAUUUCAUACCAGCAAUUUUAUUUACACAGCAAGAACAUACAGGUAUCUGUUAUAAAUGUUAGAGAUCAUCUCUACAUUUCAGAACUUGACUCAGUUUAAGGGCCAACAAAAGAACGUUUUUUCUCUUUCCAUUAAGUUUCUUGCCUCUGUUUUUUGUUGUACAAAAUGUGUAGUACUAGCAAGUGCAUUACCAUAGCAUGUCUUUAAUUUUCAGUUUGAAAUCUGAUGUGCUAGAGAAAAGUGCAUCAUAAGUUUUUUGGGUUUUUUUCCCUUAUGAAUUCAAAAUACUAAUUAUCUGGAAAAAGUAAAUCAUGUAUGGUUAUAAUUUUGAAACCGAUGCCUAAUGACAGCAGAGUGAUUUUUAAGUGUGGUAACAAAAGUUUUGGGAGCAUGUAUCCUGUCAAGAUGGUACUAGUAACAGAUUCAAGAUAGUGCCAUAUCAUAUCAGGCUGAUACAGGGUUUUUAAUGUUUGAGAUCAGAGCCUGUUGUUCCUUAGUAUAUUGGUGCAGUAAGCAAAGUUAACAUUCAUAUUUUCCCUGCCAAUAGUCCUUCAUAAAUAUCUGGUCAUAAACUGAAAAAAAAUUUUUAAUGUUUAUAAUAUAAAUGUGUUGUCUGUUAGUGAUGGGGCUAGAUGUGAGGUAUAUCUAUCUUAAAAUUUAUAAUGUAGUUUAUACCAAGAAUCACCUGGGGAAUUACAUGUUCUAAACCUCAUCACUACCCCAUAAAUGCAGUUUAAGUCUGUAAGUAAGUCUUAAGGAGUUUGUCUAUCUGGGUGUUUUUCUUUCAAUAACAAAACUCCUCAAGUACUUUCAUACUAUUCUAUUUUGUUGGCAUAUAUUUUGUUUGUAUGCUGUAAAACAAAAAUAGCUAUUACCAGCAUACACAUACAGUAUAUUGGUUUUAAGUCCCACCUCAAAGUGAAUCUUAGAGGCUGGUGUAAGAGCUCCAUUUUAAAGAUGUACCUUUGUUACUACUACUGUAUUUGCAAGUUAAGGGAGAUUUAGGUCAUCACUGAAUUGUCUAAAACUAAAAGGAACUGGCCGUCAUUACCAACUCUUACUAGAUCAUCAAGGGUAGAUGGCUGUUGUUUUUAAUGUAGGAAUUAAUGUAGGCAUUCAUGCUUACAGUUUUAAGUAUGAAUCAAAGCAUAUUUUAAUUUUUAAUAUGCUAGGGCAAAUGGACCCAGAAUUGGAAGGGCUAUGUAACUACACAGUAUGCACACCACAUCCAUGUCGGUGUCACAGAUCCUUUUGUGCAUUCAGCAUUCUUAAAAACACAUCAAAGUCUGCAGAGAAGCUCAGAAAAACUAAAUUGAAGGACAGGUGGAAUACAAUGACUCUAUGUGAGGAACUUGCCAACUCACAUCUUUCAAAGCCAGCUCAGUUUAUAUAGUACAUGCAUUAUAGUCAUAUGAAAUGUUGUCUUGGUGCUUUCUUCUUAGAGGACUAUGGCAGCAGCUUUAAGAUUACUAACAAAGAUUACACAGGUCAUCUUAUCCACAGGCAAACUGCUUUGUACAACUAAAACAUUAACAGUUCUUUUUAAGUUCCAAUGAAACUGUCACAAGACAGAGUUGAUGUAUUUUAUAUAUACUGGGAAACUUUAGAAACAGCCAUUUAUUAUUUGGAUUAAAUGUGCGAUUUGUUCUGCAAUAUGGAAUACACUUUUCAGUUUACAGCCAGUCUUCACAUGAGCAGAGUCAUACCAUUGCAGUGCACAGGAGUUCAUAAAUAAAAUUCUACUCAGGCAGUAACUAGCAA